GGCGAACGCUGGCGGCGUGCUUAACACAUGCAAGUCGAACGGAAAGGCCCUGCUUUUGUGGGGUGCUCGAGUGGCGAACGGGUGAGUAACACGUGAGUAACCUGCCCUUGACUUUGGGAUAACUUCAGGAAACUGGGGCUAAUACCGGAUAGGAGCUCCUGCUGCAUGGUGGGGGUUGGAAAGUUUCGGCGGUUGGGGAUGGACUCGCGGCUUAUCAGCUUGUUGGUGGGGUAGUGGCUUACCAAGGCUUUGACGGGUAGCCGGCCUGAGAGGGUGACCGGCCACAUUGGGACUGAGAUACGGCCCAGACUCCUACGGGAGGCAGCAGUGGGGAAUAUUGCACAAUGGGCGGAAGCCUGAUGCAGCAACGCCGCGUGCGGGAUGACGGCCUUCGGGUUGUAAACCGCUUUCACCUGUGACGAAGCGUGAGUGACGGUAAUGGGUAAAGAAGCACCGGCUAACUACGUG
rnacentral:rRNA from 1 species